rnacentral:rRNA from 1 species
UAUCGGAACGUACCUUUCAGUGGGGGAUAACGUAGCGAAAGUUACGCUAAUACCGCAUAUUCUGUGAGCAGGAAAGCAGGGGAUCGCAAGACCUUGCGCUGAUUGAGCGGCCGAUAUCAGAUUAGCUAGUUGGUGAGGUAAAGGCUCACCAAGGCGACGAUCUGUAGCGGGUCUGAGAGGAUGAUCCGCCACACUGGAACUGAGACACGGUCCAGACUCCUACGGGAGGCAGCAGUGGGGAAUUUUGGACAAUGGGGGCAACCCUGAUCCAUCCAUGCCGCGUGAGUGAAGAAGGCCUUCGGGUUGUAAAGCUCUUUCGGCCGGGAAGAAAUCGCAUGGGUUAAUACCCUGUGCGGAUGACGGUACCGGCAUAAGAAGCACCGGCUAACUACGUGCCAGCAGCCGCGGUAAUACGUAGGGUGCGAGCGUUAAUCGGAAUUACUGGGCGUAAAGCGUGCGCAGGCGGUUUUGUAAGACAGGCGUGAAAUCCCCGGGCUCAACCUGGGAACUGCGCUUGUGACUGCAAGGCUAGAGUAUGGCAGAGGGGGGUGGAAUUCCACGUGUAGCAGUGAAAUGCGUAGAGAUGUGGAGGAACACCAAUGGCGAAGGCAGCCCCCUGGGCCAAUACUGACGCUCAUGCACGAAAGCGUGGGUAGCAAACAGGAUUAGAUACCCUGGUAGUCCACGCCCUAAACGAUGUCAACUAGGUGUUGGGUGGGUAAAACCAUUUAGUACCGGAGCUAACGCGUGAAGUUGACCGCCUGGGGAGUACGGCCGCAAGGUUAAAACUCAAAGGAAUUGACGGGGACCCGCACAAGCGGUGGAUGAUGUGGAUUAAUUCGAUGCAACGCGAAAAACCUUACCUACCCUUGACAUGUCCAGGAGCCUGAAGAGAUUUGGGUGUGCCCGAAAGGGAACUGGAACACAGGUGCUGCAUGGCUGUCGUCAGCUCGUGUCGUGAGAUGUUGGGUUAAGUCCCGCAACGAGCGCAACCCUUGUCGUUAAUUGCCAUCAUUUAGUUGGGCACUUUAACGAGACUGCCGGUGACAAACCGGAGGAAGGUGGGGAUGACGUCAAGUCCUCAUGGCCCUUAUGGGUAGGGCUUCACACGUCAUACAAUGGUCGGUACAAAGGGUUGCCAACCCGCGAGGGGGAGCCAAUCCCAGAAAGCCGAUCGUAGUCCGGAUUGCAGGCUGCAACUCGCCUGCAUGAAGUCGGAAUCGCUAGUAAUCGUGGAUCAGCAUGUCACGGUGAAUACGUUCCCGGGUCUUGUACACACCGCCCGUCACACCAUGGGAGCGGGUUCCGCCAGAAGUAGGUAGCCUAACCGCAAGGGGGGCGCUUACCACGGCGGGGUUCGUGACUGGGGUGAAGUCGUAACAAGGUA